UACGGAGGGUGCAAGCGUUAUCCGGAUUUACUGGGUUUAAAGGGUGCGUAGGUGGGUCUGUAAGUCAGUGGUGAAAUCUCCGAGCUUAACUCGGAAACUGCCAUUGAUACUAUAGGUCUUGAAUUAUCUGGAGGUAAGCGGAAUAUGUCAUGUAGCGGUGAAAUGCUUAGAUAUGACAUAGAACACCAAUUGCGAAGGCAGCUUACUACGGAUCGAUUGACACUGAGGCACGAAAGCGUGGGGAUCAAACAGGAUUAGAUACCCUGGUAGUCCACGCCCUAAACGAUGGAUACUCGACAUUUGCGAUAUACUGUAAGUGUCUGAGCGAAAGCAUUAAGUAUCCCACCUGGGAAGUACGAUCGCAAGAUUGAA
rnacentral:rRNA from 1 species